UAUAAGGUGGCCGAGUGUCUAGGCGUUGGUUUGUAAAACCAAGUAGAAAAAUUAAAAUUUUUUUCUUAUAA
rnacentral:tRNA from 1 species